rnacentral:rRNA from 1 species
CCACCUGUGGCGAAGGCGGUCUACCAGAACACGUCCGACGGUGAGGGAUGAAAGCUGGGGGAGCAAACCGGAUUAGAUACCCGGGUAGUCCCAGCUGUAAACUAUGCAAACUCAGUGAUGCAUUGGCUUGUGGCCAAUGCAGUGUUGCAGGGAAGCCGUUAAGUUAGCCGCCUGGGAAGUACGUACGCAAGUAUGAAACUUAAAGGAAUUGGCGGGGGAGCACCACAAGGGGUGAAGCCUGCGGUUCAAUUGGAGUCAACGCCAGAAAUCUUACCCGGAGAGACAGCAGAAUGAAGGUCAAGCUGAAGACUUUACCAGACAAGCUGAGAGGUGGUGCAUGGCCGUCGCCAGCUCGUGCCGUGAGAUGUCCUGUUAAGUCAGGUAACGAGCGAGAUCCCUGCCUCUAGUUGCCACCAUUACUCUCAGGAGUAGUGGGGCGAAUUAGCGGGACCGCCGCAGUUAAUGCGGAGGAAGGAAGGGGCCACGGCAGGUCAGUAUGCCCCGAAACUCUGGGGCCACACGCGGGCUGCAAUGGUAAUGACAACGGGUCCCGAAUCCGAAAGGAAGAGGUAAUCCUCAAACAUUACCACAGUUAUGACUGAGGGCUGCAACUCGCCCUCACGAAUAUGGAGUCCCUAGUAACUGCGUAUCAUUAUCGCGCGGUGAAUACGUCCCUGCUCCUUGCACACACCGCCCGU